UGUUAAGUUCACCAUACCCCUUGGUUUUUGGAACUUGCCCCCAGAAUGUACGGUUUCUGCAGUUUGUUAUUUUACCAUCAAUAAAUUUUUUGGGCAACUCCAUUGUUCCUGUCACUCUAUUUUUUCACACUUGCCCGGCCAGACCAGACUUGGAGUCACAGAGAGCUGACUGUGACACGUGGGUGGCAGAAGGAGCUUCUCUCAACUCCCCACCAGCAGAACUGGGCUAUUUGAAACAAGGAAGGCUUUGGAGCCCCACCCUGGUUCCAUCCCUGUGCUGGCACUAGACCUUGAAAUCAUGUUUUCUGCAGAGGCAUUCAUAGAAUGACUAUUUCUGUUCUCACAACAAACCUCUUUCCAGUGCUCUGCAUCACCCUGGGAGUCCUGGUGACCAAAAUCGGAAAAUGCAGAAGAGGUAAAAGGAAAAGGAAGAAACUAGAAGAAUUAGAAACGACUGUUGCUCCCCCAACAAUUUGCUGUCAUAGAAGCUUUAUUUUUCAGGUGCUGCUGAAGAGGUGAAAAGUCUCAUGGUAGGAGGACAUUGCACUUGAAAAGGGCCUGCCAGGACAACAUUAUGCUAAAAAUUGAAAAUAGCUUAUUGUGAGAGUAAAACUUUUCAAUACUUCAUUGGAAAUCUGACCACUACAGCUUGCAAAUGACUCCUCCCUUGGGAUCAAAUGAUGAAGGAAACUGCAGACAGGAGAGAAAAGAGCCAGAACCAAGUCCCUGCACUGCCAUAUCUGAGCUACCUCAGCCUGAUGUCUUUGAAUGCUCACCAGGUGCAGGGAAAGGAGCAUUGAGAGCACACUACACCCAAAUAGACAUGCACACCUCCCCUGUAGCCAUUGAACCAUGAAGUAACUGGAGAGGAUUCUUCACAGACAGACGUAAUUUAUAACAAAGGCAGGAAAAGGCAACCCUAACACAGAGCUUGCUGCCCUUCCUAUAAAGUUCACCUCCUUACAAGAAAAAGCAGAGAAUAAUUUGUUUGGUUUCUGUACUCAACUCCUUUUUCUUUUAUUGUCUAAAGUUUCCAUUGUCCUUUUAUGUUUUGAUUAUUGAGUAAGUCUCUAGACUUGCCAAAUAGUCCUAGAUUGUUAACAGACCACCACUAUUU